rnacentral:tRNA from 2 species
GGGGCCGUAGCUCAAUCGGUUAGAGCAGCGGACUCAUAAUCCGUUGGUUGCCAGUUCGAGUCUGGCCGGCCCUA